CCUACGUGCGGCAGCAGUGAGGAAUAUUGGUCAAUGGGCGCGAGCCUGAACCAGCCAAGUCGCGUGAGGGAAGACGGUCCUAUGGAUUGUACACCUCUUUUGUCGGGGAGCAAAAGACGCCACGCGUGGCGUUCCGAGAGUACCCGAAGAAAAAGCAUCGGCUAACUCCGUGCCAGCAGCCGCGGUAAUACGGAGGAUGCGAGAGUUAUCCGGAUUUAUUGGGUUUAAAGGGUUCGCAGGCGGAAGAUCAAGUCAGCGGUAAAAUUGGAGGGCUCAACCUCUUCGAGCCGUUGAAACUGGUUUUCUUGAGUGAGCGAGAAGUAUGCGGAAUGCGUGGUGUAGCGGUGAAAUGCAUAGAUAUCACGCAGAACUCCGAUUGCGAAGGCAGCAUACCGGCGCUCAACUGACGCUCAUGCACGAAAGUGUGGGUAUCGAACAGGAUUAGAUACCCGAGUAGUC
rnacentral:rRNA from 1 species